UUCCGCACGUAAUUAAUUAAAUAAACACCCUGAAGGGGAAGUGCCAAUAUUAGCUCAGGCUAAACUAAACAUCAACCAUAUGAAGGGAUAAAAACUAAAGCAAGAAGACAAGGAGAAGUAAAAACAUUGAGCAAGAUUAAGCCCACAGGUGCAACGCUGUUCUGCUGCGAUGCUCCAGAAAUGUUAUGUGGACUACUAAUCUUCACCCGACUUUCUACUCAGCAUGGGGCGCAGGAUGGGAUGUUUGCCACCUCCUGCAGGAUGACUGCACUUCCUGUCCUGUGCCUGCCUCAGCAGUCUAAGAACAGGAUCACUGCCAAGAGCCGGCCUAUCAGAUACUCAGUCUGCUAAGAACACCAAAGGACACCUCUGAGGAAUAUCAUGUAAUCAUCCAGAUCAGUGAUGAUCAUCAAGAGGGGAAGGAGAGAUACCCAGGAUGUGCAGCUGUGCUCAUUUCCUUAAUGACAUUUAUAGAUUUAUUUGCUAAUAUUUACCAUCGUUCCCUCAUAUUUGAUUUUUCUUGCUGAUCUUUUCUGCACCUGUGUUAGUUCAGGAUGUCUUCUUCUGCAAAAUGUACAUCACUACUGACAUCUUGUGUGUAGCAGCUGUAAUUACACAGACUCUUCUGUUUGAUAAGAUGCCAACAUGUAAACAAAAAACCCACUAUUCACUCCCUGGAGAAACAUGAUUAUCCAUCAGCUUCCACCCCAGAUGAGAAACGAUAUUCACAAGAACUUGCUGACCCCUGAAAACUCUUGUAAACAACUGGUUUGGCUGGACUGUAAGAGCGCCUCAGUCCCAGUUGGCUAUAAUGUAUUUUGUCAUGGAUCAGGGGUCAGUUUGCAGUGGCUCCAAGUGGCUUUGACUAAAAUUACAUGGAAGUGAACAGGCCUUAUGGUAAACAUUGUUGUUGCUGUAGGACUUAGAGUGAUUCUUACAUUCUCCUGAUGUUCUGUCUGCUCCAGCAAGUUGUGAUUAUGUCAGUGAACUGAACGUGCCUGAAAUAAUAUCAUUGUGGUUAAGUUCAGGUUUGUAAUUUGUAAACAUUUUUCUUUAUUGCAGGCUAGUUUUACAGUUUCACAACUGCACCAAAACACAGUAUUAUUGUAAUGAACAUGUAGUAAUCAUGAGUGGCCCACUGCAGAGAAGCCACAUGUAAAGGCUCAUUUAGACAUUAUAGGCUGCAUCACCAUGAGGCUCAAAUGUGUUUUAAUCUUAGCCAUGGAAUCUCUGUCAAAACCUCAAAUACAAGAUGUAACUAAUAUGUUGCUCACUGACAGAUACAGGUCGCGCAUUAAGAUGUUUGGGUUUGUGGGUCUAAAGAGAACAGAAAAAAAUAUUACACUCUCUGUCUUCACACACACACGCACACACACACACACACACAUACACACACACACACACACACACACACACACACACAAACACAUGUAUAUAUAU